UAUCGGAACGUGCCCAGUCGUGGGGGAUAACUGCUCGAAAGAGCAGCUAAUACCGCAUACGACCUGAGGGUGAAAGCGGGGGAUCGCAAGACCUCGCGCGAUUGGAGCGGCCGAUAUCAGAUUAGGUAGUUGGUGGGGUAAAAGCUCACCAAGCCAACGAUCUGUAGCUGGUCUGAGAGGACGACCAGCCACACUGGGACUGAGACACGGCCCAG
rnacentral:rRNA from 1 species